rnacentral:rRNA from 1 species
UACGGAAGGGCAGCAGUGGGGGAAUAUUUGGCACAGUGGGCGCCAGCCUGAUGCAGCCCAUGCCGCGUGUAUGGAACGAAGGGUCCUUCGGGUUGUAAGUUACUUUCAGGUCGUGUAGGAGGGUGGUUAAGGUUAAUAACCUUAGCAAUUGCGUUAGCGACAGAGAAGCACCGGCUACGUCCGUGCCAGGCAGCCGCGGUAUACGGAGGGUGCGAGCGUUAUCGGAAUUACUGGGCGUAAGGGCACGCAGGCGGUUAAUAAGUUUGGUAUGUGAAUUACCCCGGGCGUUAACCUGGGACUGGCAUUUUCAAAGGACUGGUUAGGCGUAGUACGUCUUGGUAGAGGGGGGUUAGAAAGUUUUCCAAUGUGGUAGGACGGUCGGAAAUGGCGUAGGAGAUGUGGAGGGUAAUAACCGGUGGGCGAAGGCGGGCCCCUGGGACA